rnacentral:rRNA from 1 species
UACGUAGGGGGCAAGCGUUGUUCGGAUUCAUUGGGCGUAAAGGGUGCGUAGGCGGCGCGGUAAGUCGGGUGUGAAAUCUCGGAGCUUAACUCCGAAACUGCAUUCGAUACUGCCGUGCUUGAGGACUGGAGAGGAGACUGGAAUUUACGGUGUAGCGGUGAAAUGCGUAGAUAUCGUAAGGAAGACCAGUGGCGAAGGCGGGGUCUCUGGACAGUUCCUGACGCUGAGGCACGAAGGCCAGGGGAGCAAACGGG